GCCUGGCUGGCUCAGUUGGUAGAGCAUGUGACUCUUGAUCUUGGGAUCGUGAGUUCAAGCCCCACGUUGGGCA
rnacentral:tRNA from 1 species